AGUGUGCUCAUACAGAAGCCAACGCUCUGCUGAGUUUGCUUCCUGCAUGGACAGGAACAGGAAGUCACGUGGUGCACAUGUGACUGUGAGAGAGGAGAGGAGCCUUCAGACGUGAGGAGCAGCAGCCCAGCAGCAGGUCUAUCAGAAAGCCAUACCAUACGGGGGAGCACAGACUCAGACUGACAGCAAGUCAUGUGAAAGAAUGAUGGUCUCUGAUUCAUAAGAAAGAAAGAAACCCCUUGAAGCAGAAAGAAGGAAACAUCAAUCAAUGUCAUACAGUUACCAAAACAUCUGGACGUAUUAUGAUAU